UUGUAGUCUUCAGAGACUUUUUGAUUGCUCUUUGUCCUUGUAUGAGAAGACGAAAAAGGAAAAUGGAAACUCUCACUAACCACUUCAAAAGUGGCCUGUGAAAAACAGCUCAUCUCCAUCACAAAAGGCCACUUUAAUUGCCAGUGCUGACUGUGGCCAAGGAAGGAAUGGAGAUUCCAUGAGAGAAGGGUUUUCCCUACGGUAAAUACUGUCCCCUUGCUAGGUAGCUGAUUAAAAUAGGAGAAUAAGCCAGAAACCCCGCAGUCUGCUGUGUAUCAUCAGAGGAAAAGGCAAGAACAUGGCAGACGGCUGCAAAAGUGUUUUCUCCCUGGAAAACAGUCACUGCUUCUCCUGCAGUAUGCUUAGCCAGCAGCGGCCAAGAGCCAGAGCUGCCUGCUGCCCAUUCCUUCCCCUGAGCAACCUUUUUGGCUCUCAGAAAUGAAAAAAGCAAAGUAAAACCAACUGAACCCCUUGGCUGUCUUGGAAAUUGAAAUGAUGAGUUCCUCUCUGUGACAUGCUUGUUCCAAGCUGCAGAUUGUGCACGUGUGAUUGGUGGUAUCAUCAUUCUCAGCUUAAAGACUGCACACAUUUUACAGCAGGUGAGCAUCUGUGUCUCUUACAGCCCAUGUUAAAUAUGUAGAUACACUGCUAAAUACCUCCAGUAUGCCGAAAUACGUACAGUGCUCUGCCCAGAAAACUUUCCCUCA
ensembl:lncRNA